rnacentral:rRNA from 1 species
CCUACGGGUGGCAGCAGUGAGGAAUAUUAGUCAAUGGACGAGAGUCUGAACCAGCCAAGUAGCGUGAAGGAUGACUGCCCUAUGGGUUGUAAACUUCUUUUAUAAAGGAAUAAAACGAGGCACGUGUGCCUUUUUGCAUGUACUUUAUGAAUAAGGAUCGGCUAACUCCGUGCCAGCAGCCGCGGUAAUACGGAGGAUCCGAGCGUUAUCCGGAUUUAUUGGGUUUAAAGGGAGCGUAGAUGGGUUGUUAAGUCAGUUGUGAAAGUUUGCGGCUCAACCGUAAAAUUGCAAUUGAUACUGGCAGUCGUGAGUACAGUUGAGGUAGGCGGAAUUCGUGGUGUAGCGGUGAAAUGCUUAGAUAUCACGAAGAACCCCGAUUGCGAAGGCAGCUUACUAAACUGUGACUGACAUUGAUGCUCGAAAGUGUGGGUAUCAAACAGGAUUAGAUACCCUUGUAGUC